CUUAAUUAAUCCAAAACACUUUAGGUCUUCUCCUCUUCUGACUUCUCCCUCUCGCGGUCACAGGCUCACAGUGUCGCUCAGUUGCUCUCAGUCUUCUCCCUCUUAUCUCUCGCUCUUGGUCUCUCUAUUGGCGGCAAGUGCAACUAAGCUUCAUCUGGAACGAGUCCAUUGAAAACUUCAUAUCUAGGGCUCCUUUCUUGUGUUGGUAACGUGUAAGCUUCAUCUGCUUCGUUUCUCAUUUCUUCAGUUCCUGCAAUUCUUUGAAUGUACUGCAAUUCUUGCACCUUUAAUUGGUCUCUUGGUGUAUGGUGUUGUACGAAUGGCUCAAACUAUUUCCACUAUUUUACCACAUUUGGGAUUGCUGCUUAAUUUUUGCGAUUGUUUACCUUGUAUUUUAAAAGUAUUGUAAGGCCUUAUUGGUUUGUGAUUUGACCAGUAUUUAGCUUCAUCAUUAUUCCAAUUAUACCAGUUUCUCCCUAAUAUUGUUGCAUUCAAGAAAUUAUUUCUUUAUUUAAUGAUUAUGACAUGCCGCUUUGGGUUUUUGUAAAUUUUCUAUUUGUUCAAUUGUUUGCUCGUAUUGUUGUAUUCAAUUCUUGUCUAGAAUACCCUAUAGCCUUAGGUAUUCAAUUCUUGUCCAGAAUACCCUAUUGCCUUAAGUAUUCAAUUCUUGUCCAGAAUACCCUAUAGCCUUAAGUGUUCAAUUCUUGUCUAGAAUAGUAAGCUCAAUAUUUGUUCUGCUUGUAUUUGUUUUUGAAGAUGGAAGAAAAUAGAAGUAUGGUAAGCGAAGCCUGCGAAGGUGGGGGUUCAAAUGAUAGAAUACCCAACAUCGAAGGUUUUAUUUCGGACAAUCUUGAUGAAGCUCCAAAGAAAAGGAAAGCGAUGCAACCUAGAUCUGAAGCCUGGAACCAUUUUGAGAAGU
rnacentral:lncRNA from 1 species